rfam:Ipomoea nil DNA, scaffold: scaffold1769, cultivar: Tokyo-kokei standard.
GGCUUACACUUGAUCUCUGAACUUCAGGUAAGUUUUCUGUUGACAAGGUUAAAUGACUGAUGGU